AGAUCGAAUUCGGUGGUUCUCUU
rnacentral:siRNA from 1 species